UAGGGAAUAUUGCAAAAUGGGCGAAAGCCCGAUGCAGCAACGCCGCGUGGGCGAUGAAGGCCUUCGGGUCGUAAAGCCCUUUUUGAGGGGAUGAGGAAGGACAGUACCCUCAGAAUAAGCCUCGGCUAACUACGUGCCAGCAGCCGCGGUAAAACGUAGGAGGCGAGCGUUAUCCGGAUUUACUGGGCGUAAAGCGCGUGCAGGCGGAUUGGAGAGUUGGAUGUGAAAGCUCCCGGCUUAACUGGGAGAGGUCGUUCAAUACUUCCAGUCUUGAGUGCGGUAGAGGGAAGUGGAAUUCCGGGUGUAGUGGUGAAAUGCGUAGAUAUCCGGAGGAACACCUGUGGCGAAAGCGGCCUCCUGGCCCAUUUCUGACGCUCAGACGCGAAAGCUAGGGUAGCAAACG
rnacentral:rRNA from 1 species